rfam:Triticum aestivum genome assembly, contig: Triticum_aestivum_CS42_TGACv1_scaffold_570613_7AS
GUUCUACUUAUUCCAUCCCAAAAUUCUUGUCUUAAAUUUGUCUACACGCGGAUGUAUCUAGUCACGCCUAGUGUUAGAUACAACCGUAUCUAAACAAAUCUAAGACAAGAAUUUUGGGACGGAGGUAAUAUUAU